rnacentral:lncRNA from 1 species
AAAUGUAAUUUUUUUAUGUGGAUUAGUUUUCAAUCUAGUUCACUUAGAACCUGGCUCACCUGGGUUGAACCCGUGGUGAGCCGAGUUGGCUCACCAACCCACCUAAUUUAAUUUAAUUAUUUAUUAUUUUGUGUUUCAAUAUUAUUAGUUAGCAUUUUUUUUUAUUAUAUUGUAGAUGGGGAUAAAAAAAAGAUGUUUCAAGAGAGAAAAAUAUUAUAGAUUUAUCUAUUCAACACUUUAAUAUUAUAAAUGGAAAAGUAAUACAAAAAUUAUCAAUAUUCAAAACUUAUUUGUUCGCCUUUUAUGUUUGUUUUUGGAUUACGCUUGGAUUGUAUAAUAUUUUAUUUUUAUUUUGAAAUGUCUUUGGAGUUUAACAUCACUUUAGAGUGAAAUUUAUUUAGAUUUGAAUUAAUUUUUUUUUUAAAAAAAACUUAUAAUUAAUUGAGUUGGUGAGUAAACCCGUUUAACACAUCAACUGUCGUGGGUGGGGUCAGGUUUGAAUUUUUUUCAGCUUGUUAUUAAGUGAGUCCGUUUGGAUUGACUCACUAAAUGACUAAGGGUGUUACUCCCUCUACCACCACCUCUUCUCCCUCCACCUACCCAACUUUUUACAAAAUUUUUUUAAUUACAAAAGUAGCCUUUUUUUACUUUUAACCCUAUUUAUUUACUUUAUUCUCAAACCUUAAAUUCCUACCUAUUUUUACUCAUCCAUUUUUACUCGCGCAGUCUUACCCCCCACUUUCCCAAGUCUCACUUUCUUUCUUUCCAGAUUUUCACCCCCUCCAACUCUCACUAGACUUGUUUCUUCUCAUCUCCCAACUCUUACUUCUCUUCUACAUAUCUGUUUGGUUCUUUUCCAUAUUCAUGUCUCCAUAUCCGUUUGGUUUUGUGGUGCGGUGGUGUGACUUUUCGUGGUGCGGCGAUGCGAGGUGUUUGCGGUGGUUAUUUGGCGGUGCAGCGGUUGCAAAUGAUAACGAAAAUUUAAUGACUAACAAUAAUGAAUAUUUUAUGACUAACAUCAUAAAAAAAUAAUUUUAUUAACAUUGAUAAAAAAAAUUUAAAUGACAUCAAUGGAAACAUAUAUCAUUAAUGUUGGUAAGAAAAAAAUGAUUGCAAAAUUAAUCUGGAAAUUAACCACAAAUCGAUUGUUAACAUGAGAGUUCAUUAUUGUUAGUAAAAUGUGUUAAAGUACUUGUAUCUCAAUUUCAAAACGAUAACGAAAUAAAAAAAAAUGAAAAAUGUAUAUAUGAAUUAAUUAAAAAAAUUCAAAAGUUCAAAAUUCUUGCUAUUUAGUUAUAAUUUAAAAUUUUCUAAAUUUAAACGAUCAAAUUCCUCUCUUAAAGUUUUAAAAUUUCAAUAUUUUAAUUUUUUUUAUUUAAAUGAUUAUAUAAAAUGUUUCAAUAUUUUUAUAAAAUUAAUUAUCCUCCACAAUAUUUUUUCUGAUACAUUGCGACAUAUAUUUUUUCCUCAUGUAUCAACAUUUUAAUAUAUGAGAUUGCUUAACUCUUCGUACGUUGGUGUGGGUAAGAUAAACAAUCAAAAAGUUCAAAAGAUACGAAAGAAGCAUAAAAAGUAGAGAGAGAUAGAAGAAAAUGAAUCAUAGAAACAUAGGUCUAACAUUAAAAUGGUUGUGUUGUUUGGGUGAUGAGAUCGAAGAGAGAAAGAAACGACAUAAGUGUCAAUAACAAAUGCUUCUUAGUUAAGCAUAAACCAGACCAUCACAUUCAUGGAGAGGAUUGGAGUGAGUAGAAGCUAAAAAAUAUUAACUCUAAAAAUAAAAUUAUACUAAAGGGUAAAAAAGAAAUAGGAAAGUGGAUGAAGGGGUAAACACAAGAAUGGGGAGGUGGAAGGAGCAAGGGGUGAUAGUGGAGGUAGCAAUAUCCAAUGACUAACCCGUAGUGAACCGGACCGAAUCGAAUCGAGUUAACCGUUUUAUAUAUCGAAAAUGUUUAAUUUUAAUGUUAAAUGAACUAAUAAAUUAAAAAUAUGUUAGUUUUAUUAAAAGUAUUAAGUAAGAUUGAGAAAUAUCUAAAUAAAAACAAAAAAAAAUCAUUAUAUUGGUAUUUAGCGUUUAUAAAACUAACAUACUUCUAAUUUAUUAAUUCAUUUAACAUUCGAUCUAAACCUUCUCAAAUUAUGAAACGUGUAGUAAAACUUCACUAAAUCAUAACUUUCGUGGAAAAGGUUAAAAAACGACAGGAGAUAACGUGUAUGUAGCAACAAUCAUGAUUCAGGAAAAUAGGGUUAGGCAAUUUGAGUUCCAAACAAAACAUCGCACCUAAAUAUGAUCCCAAAAAAGUGCACACACAACCACAGAAUGAGGCCAAC